rnacentral:rRNA from 1 species
CACGGAGGGGGCUAGCGUUGUUCGGAAUUACUGGGCGUAAAGCGCGCGUAGGCGGCUUUGUAAGUUAGAGGUGAAAGCCCGGAGCUCAACUCCGGAAUUGCCUUUAAGACUGCAUCGCUAGAAUCAUGGAGAGGUGAGUGGAAUUCCGAGUGUAGAGGUGAAAUUCGUAGAUAUUCGGAAGAACACCAGUGGCGAAGGCGACUCACUGGACAUGUAUUGACGCUGAGGUGCGAAAGCGUGGGGAGCAAACAGG